rnacentral:lncRNA from 1 species
AAAAAUAUCAUGUGUGCUCUUCCCAGGGGUGUUGGGAGCCUCAAGGGAAAGCCUUGUCUUAAAAGAGCUUUUUAAAUUCCAAUGUUGUAGGCAAAUAUCAAGUGGUAAAUCCAUUCACCCCCUGUUUGAGGAUGUGGUCUUGUCCUUUUGAGUCGAUUGGCAAGUCUCAGAUAAUAAUAACCUUUCAAAGCUUAUUUGUCAUGCAUUUUAGCCUGAUCCUGGCAAACACCAUUCGGGAACCCCCUGGAGCCUCAUAUGCACCUGUGUCAUAGCCUCAGACCCCGCUGCUGUCAGAAGGGACCCUGGGGAGUAGGAGGUGCUGAGACUGAGACUGAUAAGUGCAGGCUGCGGCUGCACAGUGGUUUCAAGAUGGAGCUCUCGUCUAGGGCCCUGCCCAGCGCUGCUGACUGCUGGCCAUUCCUGAGAGGGGACUGAUGCUUGGUCUGAGGUUCACUGGGGCUCUGCUCACCAGAAGGGUAUCAGAAAGAGUAUGUUUCCUUCACGAUGCAAAGGAGAACGAGCAUGCCUCCUUAGGGGCUCUAGGAUGGAACACCUUGCCAGCCUCGACACCAAGGAUCAGUGUAAAUUCAAGUCACUCUUGCCUGGCAGGCAGCCCGUGCCAUGAAAAGACCAUGGGCGGUGGGGCCUCACAGAUGCCUGUAACCAUUGGCUCUUCCCCGUCCUAGCUCCAUGAUGCCGAGUAAGCCGGCUGGCUUCUCUUAGCCUCAGCGUCCUCAUCUGUCAAAUGAGAAUGGGGAUGGCCAUGAGAAUCAAAUGAGGUAAGGUGUAUAAAGCGCCCAGGAUGAGGCCAGGCAGGAACCAGGGGCCGUGAGUCCCCUCUGUCCUUCCAGGGCAGCCAGCUCUUCCCCAGGCUGCAGACCUACUGCUGUGACUAUCCCUCAGUGCAGACCAGCUUCCCAGAGCCUCUGGUUUGAAUGAGCCCAGUGAGUCUGUGCUCAUUCAUCUCAUCCCCCAUAGAGAACGAACUUCCUCUAGAGCCCCCCAUUCUCCUCCCAGGUCCCCAACAGUGUCCAGCAUAGUGCUGGCCACAUGUAGGUGUUCAAUUCAGGACACAUUGAGUAAGUGUUUGUUCAGCACUGGGUACCUGGUCUAAUGAUGCUACCUGCUAUUGAGCAGCAACUAUGUGUUAUUUAGAAAAGCAUUGGCUCAUCUAAUUCUAGCACAACACUCCAAGACAGGUAUUGCCAUGCCCAUUUUAUUUAUUUUUUUACUUUUUUUUUUUUUUUGUCUUUUUAGGUCUGCACCCAUGGCAUAUGGAGGGUCCCAGGCUAGGGGUUGAAUUAGAGCUACAGCUGCCUGCCACAGCCACAGCAACAACAGAUCCAAGCCGCAUCUGCGACCUACACUGCAGCUCACAGCAAUGCUAUAUCCUUAACCCACUGAUCGAGGCCAGGGAUCGAGCACGCAUGUGCUUGGAAAUGUUCGGUUCGUAACCCACUGAGCCACAAUGGGAACUCCCCACCCCCAGUUUAAAGAGGAGCAAAAGGAAGUUCGCCAAGGUGAUUCAGCACCUUGCCCAUGGCUAAUUCCAACCUCAUGCCAAGCCUCUUUUUCACUCCUCUCCAUUGCCUUCCUGCAGGAUGACCUGCUUUCUCCAGGAUCAGAGUAAAACUGGAAAAUCAAUGAAUUCAGCAGCAGGUCCCCUAAUGGUGGGAGCAGGGGUGG